GCCCGAUUAGCUCAGCUGGUUAGAGCGUCGUACUAAUAUAACUGAAGACGGUUAUAAAUAGUCAAAUGCGAAGGUCAACAGUUCAAUCCUGUUAUUGGGCA